GAAUAAUCGUAUUUGUCGUUUAAAUUCGGUGACGUCAGUCGAGUUUAAAUUUUUAAAUUCCAUCGAUCUGAUUCGUCGCUUCGUUUAUGGUAAUUAAACCGUUAUUUAAUUAAUUCCGUUUUAUGUUAUUAAAUUUAUUCGAAAUUCGGGGUUACGAGGUUAAGAAAUUCGGGAAGACGAAAUCGUGUAAGCGUGAAUUCACGCCCGAAGUGGUUCCCUUUGUGUUUAACCUCGAGAAUUCCCGAUUUAUAACAAGUUAUUACGAAUCAAUGUCGAUCUCGAAAGUCUUCUUGUUAUUGCUAUCAUCGAAUUAACCGAAUUUUUCAGUGUGUUACUCGCUAGGCCAGCUUCCUUAUCAAUUAAACUACCGAACCAAAUAAUCGAUAAUGCAAGAAGUUGAGCCAAAGUUUUCAAAUAUCUUGCCAAAGUAAAGAAGGGAAUAAAGGAAGAAAGAAAGGGGAAAAAAACAAAAUGCCUUCUACAAAGGGGCGAUGUGCCAAAUACAGAUUUGUUUCUUGAAGUUCUCGUCGCCAAAAGAAAAGUUUUCAACUACAACUGAAGGAACGAGGACAUUGACUUUACAUCAGUUUGGAACUCGAAAAGAUAGAGAAAAUCCGAAUUAAAACAUCGGCGGUCCUUCGAGAUACUUGUAAGAUAUCACGGUUGCAGAUUUAAAAAAAAAAAGAAGACAGUUGAUUGGUUCUUUUUAAAAACAUAAAUAUUGUCAUCAGAUCAUAGAAAUAAUCAGUUGCUACGUUAAUAUCGGUGGUUUCAUACAAGAGUAAUCCCAUGAGAAAUGUACAGUUAGGGGCAUUAGGGGAGGAGAGAAAAAGAAAGCUCGAUCGAAUCUUACAUUAUUUUCUUCUUUUUUCAUCUCCAUGCUGACAAUUUCCUUCCCUCCUGUUUGUCGGGUAAACAUGGCAAUCGAAUAUAAACUUAGUCUUGAUGUAUUUAUCUCUCAAGAUUUCUCUUUUUAUCAUUCAAAGAUAAAUACUUCUGUGCAAUUUGUCUGGCCCAUUAAAUUGUGCUUAAAAUAUGUAAGAAGUUUAAACAUUAUAAGGCUCUUCGCCCACUUUUUUCUUUUCGUCUUUAAAGGUGCUAAUCUAUUGUUAUGAGGCAUCCGAAUUCUGUUUGGACUCUCAUUAGCAGUAAGGGACUUAGCAUCGUUCUCCAUUGCUCACCAGUAGCCAAAUAAACACGUGGACUGUCCACGUGGAGUUUUCUGAAUUUUUUCUAGUUUGUAACUCCAAAAAAAAAAGGAACCAGCUUCCUUCCGGAAGGCAUCCCA